CCGCACUUCCGCCGGCUGGGGAGCCGGUCAGAGUGCGCGUCAUCCGUCGCUAGGAGUCCAUUAGUUACCGCGGAGUCGCCUCGUGUUUUCCCGCGUUCUGAGUCCGGCUGGAUUAGUGCGGAGGGACGAGCGACGAGAGCUUCCCCCUGAGUCACCCUGAGGCAGCGGCGCCCAGGGGAUGAGGCAAGGAGGCUGCCGGAAGACAUCAGCCAGCACAAAGAUACCUGACUCAGAUAAUCAACACCUGGACCCUGGAAGUCUAGCAUUCAAAGAGUCAGCCUCCCUCCAUGCUGCCAAGAUACCUGCACCCCCAGCCUGUGGGAAGCCCCAGCAGCUGAACCGGAUCGUGGGUGGUGAGGACAGCACCGAUGCCGAGUGGCCCUGGGUCGUGAGCAUCCAGAAGAACAGGACCCACCACUGUGCAGGCUCCCUGCUCACCAGCCGCUGGGUAGUCACCGCCGCCCACUGCUUCAAGGGCACUCUGAACAAGCCAUCCCAGUUCUCUGUGCUGCUGGGGGCCUGGCAGCUGGGGAACCCUGGCCCGAGGUCCCAGGAGGUGGGUAUCGCCUGGGUGCAGUCCCACCCUGUGUACUCCUGGGAAGAGGGCUCCCGUGCGGACAUUGCCCUGGUGCGCCUUGAGCACUCCAUCCACUUCUCUGAGCGAAUCCUGCCCAUCUGCCUGCCUGAUGCCUCCGUCCGUCUCUCUCCCAACAUGCGCUGCUGGAUUGCAGGCUGGGGGAGCAUCCAUGAUGGAGUGCCCCUGCCCCAUCCCCAGACCCUGCAGAAGCUGGAGGUUCCCAUCAUCGACUCAGAAGUCUGCAGCCUCCUGUACUGGCGGGGAGCGGGGCAGGGGGCCAUCACCGAGGACAUGCUGUGUGCUGGCUACCUGGAGGGGCAGCGAGAUGCCUGUCUGGGUGACUCCGGGGGCCCCCUCAUGUGCCAGGUCGAGGGCACCUGGCUGCUGGCGGGCAUCAUCAGCUGGGGCGAGGGCUGUGCGGAGCGCGACCGGCCCGGCGUCUACAUCAGCCUGGCUGCCCACCGCUCCUGGGUGAUGAGGAUCGUGCAGGGGGUGCAGCUCCGCGGGCACUCACAGGGGAACGGGCCCACUCGGGGCACCGGGCCGUCCCGGGGCCGCGUGCGUUAGGGAUCUGGGGAGACGGGCAGCUGCGGGCCCCAGCCACCCGACCGUGCGCCUUUCCCGUGCGCCCUUCCCGCCGUUGUCUCCCGGAUUCGGGCCGAGGCAGCCAAGUCCUCUGCACCCCCAGGAGCUGACGCAGGAGUGACUCACUGCUGAUUCUAUCACAGUAGAUGCCUUGGGGUUGGUUUUAUAAAAAAACAAACACCACACUGGCCUCCUGCUCAUCUGGGAACCAGCCUGGGGAGUGAACGGUGACUCAGGGCUGGGGGAGUCCAGGAGGUGGCAAGGGAGUCAGCCCCACACCAGCAGAGAAGCCCCUUUGCUCCCAGGUUUGAGCCGGGCCCAGGAACACACCCCAAAUCUGGACCACUCCGGGUGGGCGACUCACUGCUUUGGUUCCACGGACACCACCUGCCGCCGGGGACCACAGAGCCCCUGGGCCUGCAGGUGGUCUCCUCAGGAGAAGUCCCAGGGGCCCAGUGGGCAGGAGUCUCCACCUGCUGCAGCCUCCCACACGGAACAGCCCUUCCCAGAGCUCCCCAAGGUGACAAGUGUCAUUCCAGCACGAGCUGCCUUAGCUGCAGGCUACUUGGUCUGUCCCUCCACAUGCUCUCUCCUCAGAUCUUUAACCCUUGAGAAGACGUCCACCCCCACACCUGGGACUCCACAGCGCUGCCCCGGCGUCCAGAGCAAGUGAGCACACACACACACACUGAGCCCGGCUCUUCUGUGGUGGUAACCUCCUGUGCCUGGUAAGCCCACGCCUCUCCCUUGCUUCCUCCACCAUCGAGACUGGAAAAGUGAAACGCUCACUUCCACAAUCUCCCGCAGAGUUGCAAGAGCCUGUGGGACUGAGUGUUGGCCCAGGAGAGGGAAGCAGAUGUCUGGUGGGUGGUUUCUUGGGAAGACAGCUUUUUCCUGAUAAAAGGGACCUAUUCAGCUAGCAUCCUUUCCCAUCCUCUACCUUCUAGUUUUGGAUGUCGAUGUGAUGCUUAAACAUCAGCAGCCAUCUUAUCACCAUGAAGUGACAAGCUGCUGGGCAGAGUGACAGCAAAGCUUCAGGAGCUUCUCCUCAUCAGUCCUGCCGCCCACCAAGGCACCUGAAGGAGUCUCACCGUUGCCCCGGCUGACAGUGCCCUGGCGAGCUCACCAGCGUCCAUGCCAAGUGCACCCUCCCCAAGUUCCCCAGAUGGCCCUGGGAGUCUGGGGUUCCACACGGAGGAGGAGAGAAUGGCCUCUCCCAGCUCCGAGCCGCACCUUGCCCCCUGCACCCAGGUGGUUGUGCUCAGAAGGUCACAAGGUUGCUCAUGGACACGUCCCCUUGGGCUGUGUGUCUGAUUUCCUGUCAGUCAUGCAUAGGCAAGCCAGAACAAAUGAGUUUUCAGAGGCUCAGCGCUCUCCAACCUUACGGAGAGGGUCGUCCCUUUCACAGAGCAAAGUCCGCUUUGCAGGCUCCUCCUGGUCCCCCAGCGUCUGCACGAUGGCUGCCGCAGUGCUUCCGCCCUUCUUCACCUGCGGGCAUUCACACCUGGCUUGUACCCCUGGUUUCAAAGCUCCGCGACCAUCCAUACAGGUGACUCCCCGAGCUCUCCCCAAAUGGCCCCUGGGCCCCUCAACCUUACCGAGACCCCAAGUGAAUCCUAUUAUCCCCUCUGUCAGAAUUUCCCAUCCCAGCAAAAGGCAGGAGCCCAUCCUUCCAACAGCUCAGUGUGAAAACCCCAGAGGACGGACACCCCCACGUGCUGGCAGGGGCCCCGGGCGCCGGUGGGAACGCGGCGUGGGGUGGCCUCUGCGCAAACCGGGCGACCGUUUCCCGUGCAGCUGACCGACUCCUAAAAUUUACCCAAGAGGGAAGAAAACCUACAGGGACCCUGCACGCAGUCAUUUAUAGCAGCUUUAUUCCAAAUCAGCAAAUGCACUGGAAACCCAUGUGCCCUCCGGCUGGCAGUUGGAAAAACACACUGUGGGCGCCUGUUCAGGAGAAUUCUGCUCAGCAAGCGAGAGGAGCAGACGGCACGCAAGGCCCACGGACGCCCAGUGCAGCACUCUGAGGGGACCAGUCAGGCUCCAGAGCCACAGGGACAGAGAGCAGAUGGGUGGCUGCUGCAGGCUGUGCUGGGGAAGCUCGCGGUCGCUGAAUUUUCCUGUGUGUAAUUACACCUCCAUCAAAAUGAUUUAAAAACAACACAAACAUGUGGAGGCCUCCUUGCCUCCUCGCUUUCCCUCAUGGUCUACAUUCAAGCCAUCAGCAGACCUGUUGGUUUUACUGCGUCUUGGAAAUAUGUCCAGAUGUGUCCACUUGUUCCUAUGCCGGGCCCAGCCGCCCUCCACACGAUCCUGCAUUUCAGCAGUGGCCUCCUCGCUGGGCUCCCUGCUUCUGCUCUUGCUUCAGCAGCUGCAAGACUGGCUCUCUCCAAACCUAAGUAACGUGUCCCACUCCCAUUCAGAAACCUCUGCUGGCUUACUUUACUCAGAUGGAAUGACGUCGUCCUUCUGGCCUCCCCGCCCCCUCCCCCUCCUUGCUGGGGAGCUGCAGCUGCAGGGCUCCCAGCUGUGCCCCGGAACACCACAGGCACGCUUCUGCCUCAGGGCCUUUGCACCUGCAGCCUCCUCUUCUGCCACAUGACUGCAGGCUCCUGCCCCCACUUCCUAGGGAACUGCACUCAGAUGCUAAGUCACCAUCCUGUUUACAAGAGCAGUGUUCCCUCCCUCCCCUUUUGCUUCUUUCUUUGCUCUCUUUUUUCUAGGACAUUUAUUACUAUUUAACAUACUACGUUGCAGGGCGUUUCAGUCACCCCAAAAUCCUCCUGUGCCCCUUCCUGGUCAGCUCCCCUGUCCCACCUCCCGGUCCCCAAGUGACCACUGAUCUCCCUUCUGUGCUUCCUAGCGUUUUAGGUAAAUGGAAUCAUCCAGCAUGUGCUGUCUUGUACCUGGCUUCUUCAGCCUCAGUGGGAUGUCUUGGGGGCCGCCCGGGCUGUGGCGUGUCUUCAUUGCUGGUGGUGUUCCUGUGUGUUCCCGGGAGACCGCAGCACUGAGAGCCUUCACCCAUUCUCGUGUUGAUGGGCAUUCGGGUUGUUUCUGGGUUUUGGCUAUUACCCAUCAAGCUGCUGUGAACACUUGGAAGUUUUUAUGUGGACAUAUUUUCAUUUCUGUUGAGCCAACCAACACCCAGGAGUGGAGUAAACUGUGUAUGUUUCACUUUUUUUUUUUUAAGAUUUUAUUUAUUUAUUUGAGAGAGAGCACGAGACAGGGAGAG